CUGCGGGNUAUAGUUUAAUAAAAANCCCUAAGCUGUGGACUUAGAGACAAGAACUAA
rnacentral:tRNA from 1 species